rnacentral:misc_RNA from 1 species
UGCUGUGGAACUUGCUGCAUGAUAACAGUUCAACAUUCUCAAUUCCCAAGUCAUCAAAUCAUUCUCCUUUAGAUUCUAAUACUGUUUGACCAAAAUUAAUUAGUUUAGAAAAUCACAGAAUGGGCAUAUCCAAUGCUCGCAAGACAUCCUUGAAUUCAAAAUCACGUGUUUCUUUGUUGAACCUUUCAACCAGCUUGUACCUCAC